UCAUGAUUAUUAUCGAAGAAUAAAAAUAGCCUUUGGCUUCCUGUUCUGCUUUGUUGGUGAUGGUUUUGUAUUCGUAGUUUUUGACUUUCACCUUUUGUUCAGAAAAUUGUAUCUUUAUGUCCUCAUUAAAAUUCUGAUGGUCAUCUAGAUUCUGAGAUUGCUGUUCAAGCUAACUAUACUUUUACAGUUUACAGAUAUGAAACCAAAAUCUGAAGCACCUUCAACUCAAAGAAAGUCUCAGGAUUUAAAUUUAUACCAGAGGGUAUAUUUUACUUUUUUGUUUCUACAUUUUGUUUUCUGUUAAUAUCUACUACUUUUUGCAUCAUCCUAUUUACCUUUAAAGAUCAGGGAGUUCUACUUUAUAUUUGUUUCAAUUGAAGUUGUGCUCUACCGGCAUAAUCAACUCAUUUUAUGAUGUUUUGGAUUGUAAUUUGUAUUUUCUUUAUAAUAUUGAUGGAAACAUAGCGUCAACUAAAGGAACAGAAUUAUAUCAGCAACAGAAACAAAAACACGACCUUCAGAAAGAAGUAUUGUCUACUUUGUUUAAUUAUCAUGGGCAUUCUGAGGAGCCUCCUGAAAGAAUUGUGAAGGAUUUGAAUAAGAAAUCACGAUAUGAGCAUGUGGUUUUUGAACCUCCCAAAGAUUUCCCAGAAGAAAUCGAGUUUGGCAUGGACUUCUCACGACCAGAAAAUAUAGAUGAUAGUUGAUUCAUAUGCUGCUCUGCUAUUGGCCAAGUAUUGAAAUUCAGGAAGAAUUGGUGAUGCAUUCCUAGAUGCAAAAUCAAUUGACCAUUGCUUUUUUCUUAUUUCUUGUUACAUAAAAAUAAUAUAUAGAUAAUUUUAUGUUAUCUUGUUUUGAAAUUGAGUUUUAAGUUAUAUGAUUGAGUUCUGUUUAUGGCAGAUCCAGAGGACGAGGAAGAAUACAAGAACGUGCGUAGAGCUGUGAAGGAGUUCCGAGUGGCAAUGAAUGAAUAUUAUAAAGCAGUAUGUUGCAUUCUUUGUUUGGGUUAUAUUUAGUUCUACAUUUGAUCGAUCUAGUAGUUUCCUGUAGCUCUAUUUGCGAUCAUAUGUAAAGACUAAUGGGUCUCUUGUUACCUAAGGCAUGUUUUUCUCGUUUGCAGCCCCCCACAUUUUUACUUAACUAGAUGUUGCAACCGUAUCUAAUUGAAGAAUGUCACCUCAGGAUUAAUCUUUUUUGAAGAAAAAAAGUUGCACAAUUUAA